rnacentral:rRNA from 1 species
GAUGAACGCUGGCGGCGUGCCUAAUACAUGCAAGUCGAGCGAACAGAUGAGGAGCUUGCUCCUCUGACGUUAGCGGCGGACGGGUGAGUAACACGUGUAUAACCUACCUAUAAGACUGGGAUAACUUCGGGAAACCGGAGCUAAUACCGGAUAAUAUAUUGAACCGCAUGGUUCAAUAGUGAAAGACGGUUUUGCUGUCACUUAUAGAUGGAUCCGCGCCGCAUUAGCUAGUUGGUAAGGUAACGGGUUACCAAGGCAACGAUGCGUAGCCGACCUCAGAGGGUGGUCGCCCACACUGGAUCGGAGACACGGUCAAGACUCCUACGGGAGGCAGCAGUAGGGAAUCUUCCGCAAUGGGCGAAAGCCUGACGGAGCAACGCCGCGUGAGUGAUGACGGUCUUCGGAUCGUAAAACUCUGUUAUUAGGGAAGAACAAAUGUGUAAGUAACUAUGCACGUCUUGACGGUACCUAAUCAGAAAGCCACGGCUAACUACGUG